rnacentral:rRNA from 1 species
AUUGAACGCUGGCGGCACGCUUAACACAUGCAAGUCGAACGGCAGCACAAGGGGGUAACCCCUGGGUGGCGAGUGGCGAACGGGUGAGUAACGCGUAGGGAUCUGCCUGUUAGGGGGGGAUAAGCCGGGGAAACUCGGUCUAAUACCGCAUACGCUCUACGGAGGAAAGGAUGGGAUCGCAAGACCAUUCACUAACAGAUGAACAUGCGUUAGAUUAGCUAGUUUGUAGGGUAAAGGCCUACCAAGGCGACGAUGUAUAGCUGGUCUGAGAGGAUGACCAGCCACACUGGAACUGAGAGACGGACCAGACUCCUACGGGAGGCAGCAGUGGGGAAUAUUGGACAAUGGGGGCAACCCUGAUCCAGCGAUGCCGCGUGUGUGAAGAAGGCCUGAGGGUUGUAAAGCACUUUAGUUGAGGAGGAAGAGUCUAAAUAUGAAUAAGAUUUAGAAGUGACGUUACCCAAAGAAUAAGCACCGGCUAACUCUGUGCCAGCCGCCGCCGUAAUAC